CGAGAUCAGAAUCAGGUGCGGCGCAUGCAAAUUGCUAGGGCACACUAAACGCAGCAAGAAAUGCAAACUAAAUAAGAAAAGCGUGGUGGGCGAAGAAGAGUAGAACAGUUGCUAAAGUUAUGUUAGGAUGAAUCCAGUGAUCUAAUAGUGAGGUGUUUACAAUGUGUUACAACAUACAUGAUACAUGCUAUAUACUAUUGCAAGAGGCCAGUACCUUGAGAUAGUGCUUGUAGCAUAUAUGGACUAAACAGGAGGCGGUCACUAGGGACUUUAAUCAUGGAAAAUGGAUAGCAUUUUAGCCAUUGUAAUGAUGGCAUCUUUUGUGUUGUCCACUCUAGUUAUAUUAUAUUAGAAAACUAGACGAUACCCGGCAUGUUGUUGCGGGAAUGUUUUGCAAUAUAUUCAUAGAGAAAUGGUUACGUGUAACAUGUAUA